rnacentral:rRNA from 1 species
AAUCAACGCUGGCGGCGCGCUUAACACAUGCAAGUCGCACGAGAAAGGGAGCACUCCUGAGUAAAGUGGCGUACGGGUGAGUAACACGUGGGAAUCUACCUCUUUGCGGGGAAUAACCCUGGGAAACCGGGGCUAAUACCGCAUAAGCCCGUGAGAGGAAAGCAGCCAUGCACCGAGAGAGGAGCCCGCGGCCGAUUAGCUAGUUGGUGGGGUAAUGGCUCACCAAGGCGAAGAUCGGUAGCCGGCCUGAGAGGGCACACGGCCACACUGGCACUGAAACACGGGCCAGACUCCUACGGGAGGCAGCAGUGGGGAAUCUUGCACAAUGGGGGAAACCCUGAUGCAGCGACGCCGCGUGAGCGAUGAAGCCCUUCGGGGUGUAAAGCUCUUUCGACAGGAACGAUAAUGACGGUACCUGGAGAAGAAGCUGCGGCUAACUACGUG